rnacentral:rRNA from 1 species
GACGAACGCUGGCGGCGUGCUUAACACAUGCAAGUCGAACGCUGAAGCUUGGUGCUUGCACUGGGUGGAUGAGUGGCGAACGGGUGAGUAAUACGUGAGUAACCUGCCCUUGACUCUGGGAUAAGCCUGGGAAACUGGGUCUAAUACUGGAUACGACAUGCCACUGCAUGGUGGUGUGUGGAAAGGGUUUUACUGGUUUUGGAUGGGCUCACGGCCUAUCAGCUUGUUGGUGGGGUAAUGGCCUACCAAGGCGACGACGGGUAGCCGGCCUGAGAGGGUGUCCGGCCACACUGGGACUGAGACACGGCCCAGACUCCUACGGGAGGCAGCAGUGGGGAAUAUUGCACAAUGGGCGGAAGCCUGAUGCAGCGACGCCGCGUGAGGGAUGACGGCCUUCGGGUUGUAAACCUCUUUCAGCACGGAAGAAGCGAGAGUGACGGUACGUGCAGAAGAAGCGCCGGCUAACUACGUG